rnacentral:lncRNA from 1 species
UUUUAUGAUGCAAUUAUAUUUAGUUUUAAAAGUGUUACCAAAUCUCAAAAUUUCUCAAUGUUUUAAUAGAGUUAAAAUUUUCAGAAAAUAUGCAUAAAUAGAAAAAGUAUACUUAUUUGCAAAUUAUUUACUCACUGAGCUAUAAGCUUAUAUUUGUUUCACCCUUUCUCUUUGUAAGAUAGCAAUCGAGUUGAGAAGUUUUGGAGCUUUUCGAUCCACCGAGGUGAGCCACAUACAUGGUCAUUAGUUAUAUGACCCAUUUUGUCAAUUUAUUUAGUGCAUAUUUCUUUUGAGGUAAAUAUAGUUUUUGUUAUAAAAGCUUAUCAUGGGCUCACUACAUAUUCGAUUUCUUUGGUACAUUUGAGGACUUUUGGCUGUAGAACAAAGUAAAUAUUGAUUUUCCAGCAUAUUAUUUUGAAUAGUUUGUAUUUUGAGGAACUAGUGUACUCUGAUUUAUAUUAUAAGUAUUGAUUUGUGGAAAUUGGUUAUUAUUCAGAAGGUUUUAGUUCAUAUUUUAGGGAAAACUUUGUCAAAAUUUUGUUAAAUUUAUUUUUCAAUCAAGCAAGUCAAAGAUACCUUGGUGGUAGGUUCGGAGUUUAGCUGGUAUCUACCAUCGGCGCACGACAUGUGUCAAGUCUACUAAGGUGAUUCGGAAUGGGUCAAGAUGUGCAUGGCAGUUUUAAAUCUAUUGUUGAAAAAUUCUUUAAUGCUCACAUACGUACUCUGAUUAUAUUUGUCUUGCCUCUUUCAUAUCAGAUAAUGGCAUUUUGCAACUUGCUACACCUCAUCGCACACUAUAGUACAAUGACUUCUCUAAACGCCCCGACACAAUCACAUUGUAGAAAUCAGUCUUGUACUCUACCAUGUGUCUGUCUUAAUCUUAUUAUGGUGUCUUGUUAAGCACAAUCUUGUAUCUCAUAAAUCAUAUGUCCACGUCUAUUCUAGCCAUAAAUCCCCAGCAGAGUUAAAGACUAGUGCUUAGAUUAUGCUAAACUCGAUGUUUGUUAUCUUUGAUAGUCGUGGUUAAAAACAUAGACUGACGACAAGUUAUAACCUCCGUCACGUCCAUUGUAUUUUUUGGAUAAUCUCUCCCCAAAGUCGUUGUACUAUAUUGUUGCUAAUCGGAUGUAAAUUUCUCGUCAUGUCAACUUCAUCAAAUCUGCAUUCCCAUUUGAUUCAUGAACAACCACUGGUAUUAUUGUUUUCAUUGCCGACUCAUCUCAUAUUUCCCAUCCCAAUUUAUAUCCUUACCCAUUCUGCCAAGCUCUCAACUUUUUCCACAAGUAAGCUCUGUUAGAGUUCGGGUAUGGCUGAAAUUCUAAUGAGAAUUCUAUUGGGAGUUGGUAGUAUGCCUUGAAAAAGUCUUGAAGAAGUCAAAGAGGUAUAAGGAGAAAUAAUCACGUGAAGACGACUCGCCAACCUCACAGAUGUCGUUCAAGCAAAAAUUGCAAUAACUUCAUGGCUUGCUAACCAUGCCAGGUGCUCGAGUGGUGGCCAGUAGAUGCAUAGCUUGUGAGCUACGUGACCACCGCUCGAGUGAUGGUGUUAUUCGAUGCAAACCCUAGUCGCAAUUUUGGUAGUUUUUACAUUCAUAUUCCACCUCAAAUACUAAAUUAUUUGUUAGACUUAUUAUAUUAGUACACCACCAUAUGUUAUGCUCUUC